GACGAACGCUGGCGGCGUGCUUAACACAUGCAAGUCGAACGGAAAGGCCCGGCUUUUGUGGCUUGCUCGUUUGGCGAACGGGUGAGUAACACGUGUGUAUCCUGCCCUUGACUUUGGGAUAACUCCAGGAAACUGGGGCUAAUACCGGGUAGGAGCUCCUGCUGCAUAGUGGGGGUUGGAAAGAUUCGGCGGUUGGGGAUGGACUCGAGGCUUAUCAGCUUCUUGGUGGGGUAGUGGCUUACCACGGCUUUGACGGGUAGCCGGCCUGAGAGGGUGACCGGCCACAUUGGGACUGAGAUACGGACCAGACUCCUACGGGAGGCAGCAGUGGGGAAUAUUGCACAAUGGGCGGAAGCCUGAUGCAGCAACGCCGCGUGCGGGAUGACGGCCUUCGGGUUGUAAACCGAUUUCGACUGUGACGAAGAGAGAGUGACGGUAAUGGGUAAAGAAGCAACGGCUAACUACGUG
rnacentral:rRNA from 1 species